rfam:Dipodomys ordii contig_37948, whole genome shotgun sequence.
GGAAAUGUGGCUUAGUGGUAGAGUGCUUGCCUAGCAUGCAGGAAGCCCUGGGUUCAAUUCCU